rnacentral:rRNA from 1 species
GAUGAACGCUGGCGGCGUGCCUAAUACAUGCAAGUCGAGCGAACAGACGAGGAGCUUGCUCCUCUGACGUUAGCGGCGGACGGGUGAGUAACACGUGGAUAACCUACCUAUAAGACUGGGAUAACUUCGGGAAACCGGAGCUAAUACCGGAUAAUAUAUUGAACCGCAUGGUUCAAUAGUGAAAGACGGUUUUGCUGUCACUUAUAGAUGGAUCCGCGCCGCAUUAGCUAGUUGGUAAGGUAACGGCUUACCAAGGCGACGAUGCGUAGCCGACCUGAGAGGGGGAUCGGCCACCCUGGAACUGAGACACGGUCCAGCCCCCUACGGGAGGCAGAAGUAGGGAAUCUUCCGCAAGGGGCGAAAGCCUGACGGAGCAACGCCGCGGGAGGGAUGAAGGUCUUCGGAGCGUAAAACUCUGUUUUUAGGGAAAAAAAAAUGUGUAAGUAACUAUGCCCGUCUUGACGGUACCUAAUCAAAAAGCCACGGCUAACUACGU